UACGGAAGGUGCUAACGUUAUCCGGAUUUACUGGGCGUAAAGCGUGCGUAGGCGGCUGUGUAAGCCAGUCGUGAAAUUUCUCGACUCAAUCGGGAAAAGCCGAUUGGAACUGCACAGCUAGAGUGCGGGAGAGGUGAGUGGAAUUCCCGGUGUAGCGGUGAAAUGCGUAGAUAUCGGGAAGAACACCAGUGGCGAAGGCGGCUCACUGGACCGCAACUGACGCUGAGGCACGAAAGCGUGGGGAGCGAACGGG
rnacentral:rRNA from 1 species